CCCCCCACGUAGAAGUUGCGCUUGACACACCCACAUACCCACAGCUUGAUAUAAAACUGUUCAGGUGGUUUAGUCAUAGGAGACCUGAGUACACAGACAGAGAGAACUGUGUCUGUAUGGAGUCCACCCUCCCAAAAGCUCCAGGUGGGGCAGACACCGUCACCAUAGUAUGGCCGUCCGACCCACCUGGUCGUCUGCGUCCACUUAUUGAGGAAGCAGAGCUUGAAGAGAUUCCAGUGGGUCAGCCCUCAAGAACAAGAAAUGAAGAGAAGGUUUACUCAUUUGACAGCUCCCUGUCCUCUGAUGACAGUGAGGACGAGGGUAUCGGCAAGAAAAAGAAGAAAAAGAAAAUAAAGAAGAAGAAGAAGAAAAAAGAUUCCAGUUCUUCAUCAUCAUCCUCUUCAUCAUCAUCUUCCUCAUCAUCAUCUUCAUCCUCCUCAUCCUCGAGCAGCUCGUCAGACAGCGACAGUGAGGAUGACAAGAAGAAAAAAAAGAAAAAGGACAACAAGAAGAAGGAUCAUAAGGAAAUGGAAGAGUACGUCUGGGGCAGUGUUCUCAUCGAUGAGGCUGCUCCCCAUGACAAAAUAGAGAGUGUGUGCGGCGAAGGUCUGAAGAACUUGGAUAUCUACUCAUCGGAUGAAGAAAGUGACAAGAAAAAAGAGAAAAAAAAGAAGAAAGACAAAAAGAAGAAGGAUAAGAAAACAAAAGACAAGAAGGAGAAGAAAAAGAAGAAGAAGGAGUCUUCGUCCUCUGAAUCAUCUGACAGUGAGGAUGAGAAGAAGAAAAAGAAGAAAAAGGACAAGAAGAAGAAGAAGAAGAAGAAGAAGAAGGACUCCAGCUCCUCUUCCUCUUCAUCCUCCUCUGAAUCAUCUGACAGUGAGGAUGACAAGAAGAAGAAGAAAAAGAAAAAGGACAAGAAGAAGAAAAAGAAGAAGAAGGACUCCAGCUCCUCUUCCCCUUCAUCCUCCUCUGAAUCAUCUGACAGUGAAGAUGACAAGAAGAAGAAGAAAAAGGACAAGGACAAGAAGAAGAAAAAGAAGAAAGACAAGAAAAAGGAUGAAGAGAAGAAGAAGCCCAGCACUGUCAUUUAUCCUUCACCAGCUGCUGCAGAUUCAGGUUCUGAAGGAGAUAAGGAGACAGGAGCACAAGUUGAAAAGGUUAAAGAACUUAAAGCAGAAGUCAAAGAAAAACUGGCCGCUGCAUCUACUGCAGGGGCAGCAGAGGCUUUCCCUGAUCCUGUUGAGGAUGGCAACAUAAGUGAUGAUGAGGAAGAAGAAGGCGAGGCAAAGGACAAGAAGAAACAGUUGAAGAAGAAGAAGAAGAAAAAGGACUCGGGUGCAUCUUCAGACAGUGAUGAUGAGGAUGAAAAAGAGAAGAAGAAGAAAAAGAAGAAGGACAAGAAGAAGAAGAAGAAGAAGAAGGAGUCGUCCAGCUCCUCCUCAUCAGAUGACUCCUCCUCGGACAGUGAUGAAGAUGACAAGAAGAAGAAAAAGAAGAAGAAGAAAGACAAGAAGAAAAAGAAGAAGAAGAAAGACAAGAAGAAGAAGAAGAAAGAUAAGGUUGGUGCCUUGAUGUGUCUUCAGUGGAUUUCUGAUGUUUUCUGAUGAUCAGAAAAAUCAGAUCAGAGACUGCAAUCACAGGGUCAGCUUUGAAUCAGUGGGCAGAGUAGAGGGCUUCUGAUGAGGAGGUCAUGGGUUUGAUCCCAAGGCACAAGAUAACUAAUUCAUGUCCUGCUGCUCCUAUUGGCUGGUGUGUUAGGAGAGGCAUUGCAAAACAUUCAACUGUAAGUAUGUGGGUAAAUGGAAGGUAUUUUUAAGGCACUGUCAUAUUACCUUUUUUUCUUGAUAAUAUUUAUAUAUAUAUAAUAUAUUUUAACUUUAACAUAAAAACCUUUUCCACUUUGUUGUUGUGAUGAUCUUGUGUAAUUUGUAGGAUUCCACCUCCUCCUCAUCUGAUAGUGAAGAUGAGAAGAAGAAGAAAAAGAAGAAGAAGAAGAAGAAGAAGCCAAAGAAGAAGAAAGAUAAGGUUUGUGUCUCAAGGUUGUUGGUUCAAAUACAGUGGGGCUGUGGUUUUUUUAAUUUGUCUGAUUGUUUAUUAAUGACCAAUAUCUUUAUUGAACAGGAUCCCAGCUCCUCUUCUUCAUCUGACAGUGAAGAUGAGAAGAAGAAAAAGAAGAAGAAGAAGUCUAAGAAAAAGAAAGAUAAGGAUCCCAGCUCCCCUUCUUCAUCUGACAGUGAAGAUGAGAAGAAGAAGAAGAAGAAGUCUAAGAAAAAGAAAGAUAAGGAUCCCAGCUCCUCUUCUUUAUCUGACAGUGAAGAUGAGAAGAAGAAAAAGAAGAA